UGCCCAGCAACUAGUAUCCCUACCUCCACGCGGUACCGGCCGGAAACUAUGAGCAACCUUAGGGAAGAUCGGGUAACCAACCCCGGUGGGAACUUUGGUCGUAGGCUGACAGGGAA
rfam:Aedes albopictus isolate Foshan contig64836, whole genome shotgun sequence.